GUUGGCAAUCUGACUCCUGAGGAAAUGAGUCAUGAUGUGGAGGUAAGAAAUUCAUUGAAAGCUGGCAGUAUACUUUAUUGUUUCCUUCAACUGCUCAUUCGCUUCAUUGUUACAUGGCGGAUUUGGCUAGGAAGAACUUAACAGAAGCUGUAUUCACUUUUAUUGGGAAUGUUCCAAGUUAGGAGAUGGAAACCGAAGUGAAGUCUCAGUUGAAAGAUAAGUCGUGGAAGCCGUCUUCGUUCCAACUCUGUAUGUAGUUGAAUCACAACCCGAAUAUUGGUUGAAGCUUUUAUGAACCCCUUUAUUCAAGCAAAAGCAAUUCUAGAAAUAUUUGGGAUUGUCGGAUUUCGAAUCUGCACCUGCUCCCUCAUGGUCUACAAUUUUCGACAGAUCUGUAGUUUAUAGACCUCUUUCGGUAGAUAUCGGAAGGUGUAGUUGCAUUAUUGUGAAGGAAAAAUGAUGGGUUAAAUGGUGGAAGUCUUUACACCCUAUACACCAAUCUGCCUGAAAAAUUUCAACAACAAUCUUCAAGCAUUCGAUUUGUUCAAGUUCUGAGACAACCGAUUAAGAUCUUAAAAUGGCCAUUGAUACACCAUUUAGGGUACUGAAAGAAGGUGGAAUGGAUGCAAUCAAGCUAGAGGGGAUGCACCACCAAGGAUUUCAGCUGCAAAACACAUUGUUGAAGGUGCGAUUGCAGUUAUGGGGCAUGUAGGGUUGACCCCUCAAGCUAUUAGUGUUCUUGGUGGAUUUAGACCUCAAGGGAGGAA